CCCCAUGGCCUGGGGCUAACAGUAAAAAGUUGGCGACACCGUGCUCCCAGCCACCACAUCUGCACCCGAGGGAGCAAAGGCCCUGAGCCGCAGGGACCAUGGAGCAGCCAUGUGGCUCUGUGUCUGACACUAAGGUGCAUGUGGCCACACCCACAGGUCCCACGGCCCUCACGCUGAUGACUCUGGAGCUGUUUUGUCGCCAUCACCCCCUGCACCUCCCUCUUUUGUUAAGUCCUCUUAUUUGUGAUUUAGUCUUAGGAAGCAACAUCUUACAUUUCUCUAUACUCGCCUCAGCAGCAAACAUGUUUUGGCCUCUGUUAUUACCUUAUUUAUGACAACUUAAUUUUCUUGACAAGCUUAAUAGUAUUUGUAAGAAGACACCACACCCAAACCUUCCCAGGCACUGGGAACACACAGAGGAGCUGGAAUGCGGCUUUCUCUGUCUUUGCGAUGUUCUCCAUCCUUGGCAGCAUCUUCAUUAGCCUGCCUGUGGCCGCACCAAGGGCCAGCACAGCUGGCCUGUCCCCACAGGAGUCCCCGCGUGACCGCACAACCCCAUCUGCCCGGUCACCGUCGCACCCCACUCAGCGUGACAUUUAACAAGGUAUGUAGGGUCAGGCAGGUUAAAUGUGAGAAAAUUAAUUUGUAUAACGGCAAGCAGCAACUAUAGGCACACAGAUGCUUAAAAGAUGUCUUCUAUUGUAUUAAGUUAACAGAUUUUCGUAAUCACAUAGAGUGGAGCAAGAUGAUUCAGUUAAAGGAUUUACUUAGGAGCCUGGAAGGGAUGUUAGUACAUCUCUGUGAUAAUUAAGGGACUGCUAAUCUCUUAACCUCUGCAAUAAGAUAUGCUUCAUUAUCCUUUAAAU
rnacentral:lncRNA from 1 species